rnacentral:rRNA from 1 species
UACAGAGGUCCCAAGCGUUGUUCGGAUUCACUGGGCGUAAAGGGUGCGUAGGCGGUCGGGUAAGUCUGCUGUGAAAUCCCCGAGCUCAACUUGGGAAUUGCAGUGGAUACUGGCAGGCUGGAGUAUGGUAGAGGAAGGUGGAAUUCCCGGUGUAGCAGUGAAAUGCGUAGAGAUCGGGAGGAACACCAGUGGCGAAGGCGGCCUUCUGGACCAAUACUGACGCUCAUGCACGAAAGCGUGGGGAGCAAACAGG